rnacentral:rRNA from 1 species
UGCAAGUCGAACGAUGAACCUCCUUCGGGAGGGGAUUAGUGGCGAACGGGUGAGUAACACGUGGGCAAUCUGCCCUUCACUCUGGGACAAGCCCUGGAAACGGGGUCUAAUACCGGAUAACACUGCGGAUCGCAUGGUCUGCGGUUGAAAGCUCCGGCGGUGAAGGAUGAGCCCGCGGCCUAUCAGCUUGUUGGUGGGGUGAUGGCCUACCAAGGCGACGACGGGUAGCCGGCCUGAGAGGGCGACCGGCCACACUGGGACUGAGACACGGCCCAGACUCCUACGGGAGGCAGCAGUGGGGAAUAUUGCACAAUGGGCGAAAGCCUGAUGCAGCGACGCCGCGUGAGGGAUGACGGCCUUCGGGUUGUAAACCUCUUUCAGCAGGGAAGAAGCGAAAGUGACGGUACCUGCAGAAGAAGCGCCGGCUAACUACGUGCCAGCAGCCGCGGUAAUACGUAGGGCGCAAGCGUUGUCCGGAAUUAUUGGGCGUAAAGAGCUCGUAGGCGGCUUGUCACGUCGGAUGUGAAAGCCCGGGGCUUAACCCCGGGUCUGCAUUCGAUACGGGCAGGCUAGAGUGUGGUAGGGGAGAUCGGAAUUCCUGGUGUAGCGGUGAAAUGCGCAGAUAUCAGGAGGAACACCGGUGGCGAAGGCGGAUCUCUGGGCCAUUACUGACGCUGAGGAGCGAAAGCGUGGGGAGCGAACAGGAUUAGAUACCCUGGUAGUCCACGCCGUAAACGUUGGGAACUAGGUGUUGGCGACAUUCCACGUCGUCGGUGCCGCAGCUAACGCAU